CUCCUGCUGCAGCAGCCAGCUGCUGGCACCUGUCACCACCGCUGCGCCACCACAGCCACUUACAGCUCCCCCUUCCACAACCGGGGCACAGGAGGAGGUCACUACAGCUCAGCUCAACUAGAAGUGUCAAUGCAUUUUGCAAGCUCGAGCCCCCAGUGCGACAGGCCAGGCUAGCCCAGCUUCCACACAGCAACCUGCUCA